UUACUUCGGUACAUCGGUGACAGGUGGUGCAUGGUUGUCGUCAGCUCGUGUCGUGAGAUGUUGGGUUAAGUCCCGCAACGAGCGCAACCCCUAUUGUUAGUUGCCAUCAUUCAGUUGGGCACUCUAGCGAGACUGCCGGUAAUAAACCGGAGGAAGGUGGGAUGACGUCAAAUCAUCAUGCCCCUUAUGACCUGGGCUACACACGUGCUACAAUGGUUGGUACAACGAGUUGCGAGUCGGUGACGGCGAGCUAAUCUCUUAAAGCCAAUCUCAGUUCGGAUUGUAGGCUGCAACUCGCCUACAUGAAGUCGGAAUCGCUAGUAAUCGCGGAUCAGCACGCCGCGGUGAAUACGUUCCCGGGCCUU
rnacentral:rRNA from 1 species